CUCGUAGGCGGUUUUUUAAGUCUGGAGUGAAAAUGCGGGGCUCAACCCCGUAUGGCUCUGGAUACUGGAAGACUUGAGUGCAGGAGAGGAAAGGGGAAUUCCCAGUGUAGCGGUGAAAUGCGUAGAUAUUGGGAGGAACACCAGUGGCGAAGGCGCCUUUCUGGACUGUGUCUGACGCUGAGAUGCGAAAGCCAGGGUAGCGAACG
rnacentral:rRNA from 1 species